AUUUUUAAAAAACCAAUGUCUGUGCCCUCCCUCGAACCAAUUAAAUCAGAAGUUCUGGGAAUAGAUCCCAGGUAUAGGUGAUAUAAAAAUCUUCCCAGGUGAUUAUAAUACCUACUUUUGAGAGCAACUAUCCUUGAAGUAGAAGCAAUAGCUUAGCCAAUUGAAAUUGGGGUUGAUGGAAAUUCCAAGUGGAAGCAUCAAUGCCCACAAAGACAAGACCAUGAGAUGGAGCAGAGCACGUAGGAGAACGAAUCAAGGAGUGGAAAGUGCCAGGGCAGAUUUCUGCAUGAACUUACCUGUCAGGUGGACAAAGAAUUCUCUGUGCAUCCUUUAAGGCCCAGACGUAGCACUACCUCUUCAUGAUCCAUGUUGAUAAACAGAACUCCCAUGCCAAGAAUAGUGCAUUGGGUGAGAGGAUUUCAUGGAGGCAUCUUUUUGGAUUCCACAACGAGGGCCAAGCAGCAUAAAGUCAAGAGGUUGCAUGCCAGUUUCUUAAAUGGUCACUGGGAAACUGUAAGAUCCUGUUUAUUCACUAAAUAUAGUUCUUAAGAACAUUAAUCUAAGCCUGAAAGAUGAAUACAUCUGGGUCCACUGCUCCCUUGCGGUGCUAUUUAGUUACUCUGUCACUUAAAAAUGGCUCAGGCAAUGAAGUUCAAAGACUCCUUCUCUUUCCACUCCCACCCCUUUAUACAUCAUAUAAUCUAGCAAUGUCAUGAUUUUUUGACUGACUUGUGGCUCAUUUGUGUUGAAUAACCAGGUACCGAUUAUCUAGUUUCCUGUCUCCACAGGAAAUCACACCUUCUGGAAAAAUCAAUUUGUUCAAUAUCUUUUAGUCAUUUAUAAUCAGAUUAAGAAAUAAAAUAGAUUUUUGGUAAAGACUCAAUAAUUCUUAUUUUAUUAAUCUGAAACCCAGGUAUUCCCAUAAAACUGCUAAGCAAUGAUAUCCAUUUCCUAGGAAAGAAUUAACCAAUUUUCUGAAAUGUUCUACAAGAUCAGUAGCAUAAUACUACCAACAUUAUCUUAACUAAUUGAAGCUAGAUUGCACCUGUCAAAAUAAAUUAAUAAAAUAUAUUUGAGAAUGCAGUUUCUAUGAUUUCUAAUGUACAUAUUCAUUGAAUUUCUAAUUUACAUGUUUUGAUAACCCACUAUGGACCUCUCAGGGUCUCACUUCUAGUUGUCAAAGUUCCUGUGGAGAUCAUUAAACACAAGUUUGCUUUCUAUUUUGAACUUAAUAAAACCUGUUAGUCCUCUUUGUUCAAAGGAGGCUUUCAUUCAAUUCCAUUACUUCUUGUUUUUUCUAUUUAGUGUUGCAAAAUAAUUGUAAUAUGCUUAGGUGUGAUUAUACCUCAUUAGGACAAGUUCUUUUUUAUCAUUUAUAUAGUUAGGUAGGUAUCUCAACAAAAUGAAGCAGGCAUGUGAUAACCCCCAUAAAGAAGAAGAAAUCCCAUAACAGGUACAUAUUGCAUUUCUUAAGAAUUACAUUUUCUUCUACUGAGUGUAAGCUCCAUGAGGAUAGCAGCUGUUUUUAGCUUGUUCAUGACUGUAUACCAUUGCCUUGUCCAGUGCUGGAUAUAAUAAGUGCUCAGAAAAAUUAUCAAAUAAAUGACGUUGUUAACCUUGUUUU
ensembl:lncRNA